CCUCCUUUCUAAGAGAAUUCUAGAAUACGUUCUAGAAUUAAAUAAAGUUCACCACCUUCACAUUCCUUUAUCUUUACAUUUCCAAAAGGGCUAGUAGCUCAGUUGGUUAGAGCACACGCUUGAUAAGCGUGGGGUCGGAGGUUCAAAUCCUCCCUGGCCCACCAUUAAAGGGGGCGUAGCUCAGUUGGGAGAGCGGUAGCUUUGCAAGCUAUAGGUCGUCGGUUCGAUCCCGUCCGCCUCCACCAACAAAACCAAUCUGAGAGUUGUUUGAAAAGUUAAUAAUGAUUAAGUAUUGAAAAAAUUAAAAUUUCUUCUUUUUUUAUAUUAUGUAUAAAAAAAGUUUGAGAGUUCAAUAAAGUAUGAAAAGGGCGUUUAGUGGAUGCCUUGGCAUUGAGAGGCGAUGAAGGACGUAGCACGCUGCGAUAAGCUUCGGGGAGUUGCGAGCCAACUUUAAUCCGAAGAUUCCGAAUGGGGA
rnacentral:misc_RNA from 1 species